rnacentral:lncRNA from 1 species
CGCGAUAUGCAGCCAGGGAGAAUAACAUUCUCUCGAAUUUUUAAAGGUUGAGCGGAAAGACGAUGUGUUUUGUUAUGUCAUGGACUGUUAUUGCCUUGGGAGUCCAAAGAAGUGGAUGGAUUCCUGGGCGAUUCAGCGACAAUGUCAACGGGACUGACUGAGCUCGAGGAAGCAUCUUUGCACGUCACGCACCGUUGUUCAAGCAGCAUCAACCGCGAAAUGAACAUUCUGGUGUAUUGUGAACAUUUAAUGCUGUAGGUGUAACUUAUUUUAGACACCGCCAAAUAAUUGGUGCAGUAGACUAUAUUGCAAGUGAAGUCUCUAAAGACAUUGUUGGUGGUGCACAAAUAUGCUCUAAAAACAACCGGAAGAAGUGAAGGUGACAGUCGACUAUCAACAUGGGGAUUUAUGAGUUAAUCAUUUAAUUAACAUACAGGCUACAGCGGAAUAACUUUAUUUUAGAGACGUAAAAGCCCGAAGACCCUGCUCGUUUCAGAUGCUACGGGACAUCCUGGCAUUUGGUGGUUUUCAAGCGGUUCCUCAACGUGACACCACACGCGCACUGUGAGCUUUGGCUCGAAGUGAGCAACGCCGCCGUCUCGGCUGUGUUAUUUGAGUGAGAACCGGACAGCCAGUGGAUGCCGCAGAGUUGUUUGGGUCGAAACCGAAACAAGUGAAGGGUCAGGGGGCUGUUUUGGGGAAUUCCCCAUCCGACUGCGCCUUAUUACAACAUGGAUGACUCGGGGAUAAUUCGGCGUCGGAGGCUGCAGGAUCUGCCACUGCCCCGCAAGAACAGCAGGUUAGUACAUCUUCCCUCCCUCCUGGCCAACUGGGCACUCCCUAUGAACCCCCCCCCCCCCCCCCCCCCCCCCCCCCCCCCCCCCCGAGCAUGGGGAAGUGUGUGUUUGGAAACAACAACUCUUUUAUCAGCCGAGGGCUCUACUGUCCUGGUUGGAAGAUUUCAUCCAUGUUGAAUCCCUGUUAAGACAUGAUUAGCAUUUCAACACCCUAUUGUGGGUUUGAGGAUACUUGAGAGGUAC